CUCCGCCUAGUCAUUGAUGUUGUUGUUUUUGUCGCAGGAGGCGGAGGCGAGGCCGCGGCCUGGGGCUGCAGCAGCGGGGCUCGGGCCGGCGCCAGGCAUGGCGGUGUGCGGGGAGGCGGUGGGCGCCGGCUCCCUGCCCAGCGAGCUGGUGGUUCACAUCUUCUCGUUCCUGGCGGGCCCGGACCGGCUGCGGGCCUCGGCCGCCUGCUCGCACUGGCGGGAGUGCCUCUUCUACCCGGCCCUGUGGCCCCGGCUGCGCCUCAGCCUCCGCGUCUCCCCCGCCGAGCGGCCGCGCCUCGACUUCCUCAUGCGCAAGUGCGGCUGGUUCGUGCGGGAGUUGCGCGUCCAGUUCGCCGCCGACAACUACCCCGGCGGCGGCGGCGGCGGGGUCUGCGAGGGGGCGGCGGCCGCGGCCGAGGGGGAGACGCCGCUCUGCCCCCGCUGGCUGGACCUGCUGAGGACCUACCUGGAGUUGGUGCUGUGCGUGCUGAGCAGCGUCCGCAAUAACAGGAACCUCCAGAAGUUAAGUCUUUUUGGGGAUAUAAGCAUUCUUCAACAACAUGGAAGUAUAUCGAAUACAUACCUCAGCAAGGUGGACCCAGAUGGCAAAAAGAUUAAGCAAAUACAACAGCUAUUUGAAGAAAUAUUGGGCAAUAGCAGGCAACUGAAGUGGCUGUCUUGUGGGUUUAUGCUGCAAAUAGUUACUCCCACAUCAUUGUCAUCUUUAUCAAACCCCAUUGCCAACACCAUGGAACACCUGAGUUUGCUGGACAACCACAUCCCUGGUAAUACCACUCUUAUCACUGCAGUUGAAUUGGAGCGCUUUGUGAAUCUGCGCUCCCUCGCCUUGGAUUUUUGUGAUUUUACAGCUGAAAUGGCAAGAGUCCUGGCUGAUAGCAACCAUGUGCCUUUGCAUCGACUCUCUCUUCUGGUCCACAAAAUUUCCAUAAUGCACAAGUCCUUGGAAAACAUGCCAGAAGAUGAGAAUUGGAAGGCACUGACACGCAACAGCACUAAUCUUCGGGUCUAUAUUAUGGCUUUUGAUAUCAAGAGUGAUGACAUGCUAAGAAUUCUUAAGCCCAGUAUCCCACUAGAGAGGAUUCACUUUGACAGCUACAUCACUUGUGUUUCAGGGGCUGUUGUUGACCUCAUAUCCAGGCAGUAUGACAAAUUUCUCACUCAUUUUAUAUUAAUGAAUGAUGUGAUAGAUAUGUCUGGUUUCCCAGAUCUUAGUGACAACCGUAAUGAAGAUCCACUGGUUUUGUUAGCAUGGAGGUGCACAAGGCUCUCUCUCCUAGCAGUUCAUGGUUACACAGUGUGGGCCCAUAACCUCAUUGCAAUCGCUCGUCUUCGUGGCUCUGAUUUGAAAGUGCUUGAAGUCACAGAAGAAAGCAUUGAUUUCGACCAAGGUGAACUGGCUGAUCAAGAUGUGGAUCCAGUACAUAACCUCAUUGAGCAGGUUAUUAAAGAACUCCUGGUGGAGCCAUGUUGGCCUCUUACUAUUCUUUCUAUGUUUCCUUUGCAUGAGAAUAGUUCGCAGAUGUGUCUUUUAAUAUUGUCUCCUUGAGGAACUGCCAGCUCUCCUGAAUUCCCUUUUCCCUUAGAUUUUCUUCUCAUGGGACCUUACUUACCAGUUCUGUGUUUGUUAAAGAUGUAUACAGGAGCUUAAAGUUAAGUGCUUUUGAAAAUCUUACCCUUAGGAAGAUUGACUUCAAACCCUGAUGGAAGCGCGAAGAGCAAGCACUGCUCUUUGCAUGCAGAGUUUCCCUGUGCAGGGGAGACAACAGCUGGACUGUUUUCAAUGUUACUCUAGUUUAGGACACCUUCAGAACAGAUCAUUAAGAUGUCUUUCCGCUGCCCGGGCUGUCAGCUUUAGGAAAAAAAACCUACUCAAUUAAAUAUUUCGUAACUAGUACACCUCCUGGAUUUCCAGGUACCAUCAUCAAGAAUGUCAACAUAAUUCUAGGAACUGCAUUAAUCAAUUAACUGAUCAACAGAACCUUCUAAAGCAGUGGUUCUCAACCAGGGGUCCAGGGCCCGCUGGGGUGGCCAUGAGCAGGUUUCAGGGGGUCCAUCAAGCAGGACCAGUGUUAGAUUUACUGGCAGAAAUCCAGAGUCCCACUGCAUGGGGCUGAAACAGAAGCCUAAGCAACCUAGCGCACAGUGCCCCCCACGGCAUGGGGCCCCAGGCAAUUUCCCAGCUUCCUACCCCUUAAAGCCAGCCCUGGCUUUUAUAUGCAGUUAUUGUGGCACAGGUGGGCCAUGGAGUUUUUAUAGCAUGUUGUGGGGGGCCUCAGAAAGAAAAAGGUUGAGAACCCCCGUUCUAAAGAAUCAGUCAUCAAAUUGUGCUCAAAAAGUCACCAACUUUCAAGGGGAGUAAAGGCUGAAGAAUCAUGCCAUACUUUGGGAUUCUCAAAGACAAACUAUCCUACCUACCCUGCUUUGCAAACAAAAUGAAGCGACCCAUAUAAGAAUACAAAAUUUUAGAUUCUAUACACUGAUGGAAGACGAGAACCUGCCAUUAGGCACUUGAGUGUCAUGUGUAUUUAUCAUCUCUCUCUCUCAAACACACACAUACCAUUUAUAUAAAGCUAGGAUAACUAUAAAAAGCAUGGAAAUUUUUUUGUGGGGGGGAACACUAUGACAGAAUAUAUUCUGUAACAAUGCAUUAUAAUAAGUAAAUUUACUAAGUCUCUUGUGGAUUUUGUAAACUUUAGAGAAAGCACCAACAGUAAAUAAAAAUUUGUAAAGUACCUGUAACUGUUUAGUUCUUCAGCAGCAUGAUUAAUUUUCUCAUCUACUUUAGAGAGUUUUUCUUCUUUCUGUAACCGUUCUCUCUCUUCUACUGUUAGUUUCCUUUAACACACGGACAGUAUGGUUAGCUGUACCUCAAAAAAUAAUUUUGCAGUUAUUCUCUCAAAGAGAUUAUUUAGUGUGAUAUUCACCCACAGAAGCAGAAAAAGGUUGUGGGGUGUAAGCAUAGUGUUUUUAAAUUUGUUUACAUAGCUCAUUAGCCAUUAAUUAUUAAAAUCUGGAACAGUAAGGUAAUACCAGGACUAUCACUGCACUCAAAUUAACUCUGAUGCACAUAAGGCAGCUCUGCAGAACAUGCAGCCCACAGGCUAGAAUAGGAACCAUUAACCAUUCUCCCCUAUACAUGGGUUCUUGGCCACUAGGCUGCAUAAAUGUGGAACUACUAGUCAUGCCCUAGCCUCUCCCCAAAUUCACGUAUAUAGUGUGCUAUGCAAACCAAUUACUGAUGCAUAUUUAAUCAUUUUUUCUGAGAAAUGUCAGUAUAGUUUGCAACUGUCACCAUGCUAUUUCACUACUGAAUGACUGUCCUAGCCAACUGAUAGGGUUAAACACAUAAUAGGUCUGUUGAAGUUUCAAAAGUGACUUUAUUCCCUCUUCUCUAAACAAAAGCCCAGUUUAUCCAUAAUUACAACAUUUUUAAAAUGUAUUGUACUUCUCAGGAUGCUAGUUUUUGCCUGCCCAAAGUUGUGUCAGCCCUUGUAAGUAAACACAGGAACCUCAGGAAUGGAGGUUAUUCGUAACUCUGAAAUGUUCAUAAAACUGAACAAAACAUAUUGUUGUUCUUUCAAAAGUUUACAAUUGAACACUGAUUUUAAUACAGCUUUGAAACUUUAUUAUGCAGAAGAAAAAUGCUGCUUUUCCUUUAUUUUUUAGUAGUUUAUGUUUAACAGUACUAUACUAAAUUUGGUGGGGAUUUGUUUGGUUUUUUUUGUCUCUGCUGCUGCCUGAUUGUAUAUUUCCAGUUCCAAAUGUGGCAUGCGGUUGACUGGUCAGUUCGUAACUCUGAGAUUCUAUUGUAAAGUUCAGCUCUUAACCAGCUGAAAUAGGCUAUAAUUGUCUAAUUGGUACAACACACUUUUGCAUACAAACACAUUUAAAAAUAAUACCCCUCACCUGUUCCCAUAAACAGUUACAGUGAUAAAUACACAAGAGGUAUACAGUCCCUUCCUAUACAAGCAUUUCAAGAUUAGUAUCAUGGACUUUCCCAAUAUUUCAUCCAUCACUUCAAAAAAUUAAUAAAUAAUAAUAAUCACAUCCGAAUCUAAAAACAAAGAUGUAAAAAUCUAUUUGUUUAUUCAGCUACAUAUCAGUUUACCACAAAUGCUCAGAUUUUCAUAUGUAUACUGUAUUUUCAGCCAAAUUAUAAGGAAUCUGGUUGAUAUAAAACUACAGUUGUUAUGAGAAUUAUCUUUCAAGAAACUGUCAAAUUUGUUGAUACAUUUAACUGAAAAGUCAAAUGACUUCCCAAUCUUCCCUUAAUCAAUCAUUAAAUGCUUAAUGUAAAAACACAGCGGUAUCAGUACCUGUGUAAUUUCAUUUCAUUUUCUUGAUAUAGCUCUGUCAUUACUUUAAGCUUUUGCUGAAGCUUUUGAAGUUCACUUUCAAAAUGUGCAUUUUCAGACUGCAAGGAGACUUGCUCAUGUUGGAGAUUUUCAAUGCGUUCUGUCAAAGUUAGAGACAGCUGAAUAAUGUGCACAGUUUAUGAAGUUAAAACAAAAUCAAAACAUUUUAGAAAGUAAAAAACAUUGCAAGUCGAGGACUUUAAAGUUUUAUUAAUGAAGGCCUGUUUGACAUUUGGGAAGUAACGUAGGGAGACAUCUCCCUACAGUCCAUAGGAUACGGUUUAGUUUUUUGCAUUGUGAUAUAUUUCCACAGAUUGCACAAUUGAGAAACAGUAUUCUGACUGGUCUUAGUACAGGACAGGGAGUCAGGAGUUCUGAAUACUUCUUCCAGAUUUAACACAUACUUGAUAUGACUUUGGCUUAGUUAGUUAAGCUCUGUUUCCCCAUCUGUGGCUGGAAUGGCUCAGAAAGUCAGUACUUUUCCUCUGGAGGAUGCCAUUUUGAGAUCCAUAGUCUAAAUUUUCAGGUUGUUUUCUAUUAUUAUUAUUUGUUUAAGUGUGCUGAAGACAACAAGCAGCAUGAACAAUAGUUCACAGAAGUGUAGAAAUGCCCCAUUCAUCCCAAUUGGGGUUAACCCUGAAACAUCAUGAUAGUUAACAACAUGGAGCAAGGAGAUAGACAUUUAAAUUAUCUCCUUAUUUAUUCAGUUGCAAACCGUGCUUCCUUUCAAUAUAUUUAAGCCUCUGAAGUUCAAAGGCCCGAAUGGGGAAAAAGGCUACAGUCAGUCUAGAAAGACAUCUAUUUGAUGAGUCAGCAUAGGAGACCCUUAAAAGUUAUCGGGGAAAAAAUUGCUGCAUUAGAGGACAGAAUAAUCCAAAAGGCCACCAGGCAUAUGGCAUUUUAAAUUGAGUCCAAUUUUCUGCUGAUAGUGUUGUUAUUUAGGUUGAAGGCAUUGGCUAAUUAGAUGCAAGAUGUAUAAAGUUGCACUAAUUUUAUUUUAAAAAUAUAUUUCCUUAGAAUGAAGCCUUUGUAGAUUUUGUCCAAAGGAAAAGAGGCGACUAUGUACUUUCCAGGCAAGAGUAUUUUUAGAAGAAAGUAAUGCUGUAUUCCAACUAAAUAUAAUGAACUAAUCACUUAUAAUAUAUAAUGAACUUUAUUAGAAAUGAGUUUCACAAUUAAACAUCCUAAUGAAAGCCAAUAGACAUAUUUUCAAUAGCAAUAUUGAAAAAAGAUUUUCAGUAUAUUUAUUUUUAGUGGCAACUGUUGCAUUUCCAACAGUGAACUGGGGUAACAAAUUAAAAAUGGCAUCUCAGCAGUCUAUAUUAUUGCUGUGGUUUUAGCCACUUACUCUUUUAAGAUCAAAUUUUUGGAACUGGUUAAGUCACUUCAAUUCAAAUUUAAUGGAUUUUUAGCUAUUACUGUAAACUUAAUAUUUUUUCCACAAAAACUGAAUGAAUAAGCCAGAGUUAUUUAAAGACAUGAAUAGCUUCUCUUAUUUAAAAAUAUCAGUUAUUUCAAAAACAAAAUAAUCUAAUUACCUGUAAGUUCUUCUUUAGCUUUAUCUUCAUCUGCCAGUUUUAAAUAUACUUGAUUUCUUUCUAUUUCCAGGGUUUUUAAACAAGCAUUUAACUACAUUAAAUUAAAAAAGGAAUUAAGUGUGAGUACAUUACUGCAGGAAAAAGACUCAAUUCUACUUGACUGCAUUUCUCAGAUAAUACAAUACUAAAGUCAGAAUGUUAUGUUAUGGCUGUAACAUUAAUUGAUUACUGCUUGGAAAUGCAAUCAGCUAAUACCCUAUUUGAGGAGGACAGGGCAGGUUGCAUUCAUUCUAGACCCUGGCAAAGAAAAAAAAAGUGUCAAUUAAGAUUGUUUAAGUAUGGUAAAAAAUAUUUAGAAAAAACGGACACCCUGAACUUUGUUUACAUUGAUACAAUUAUAUAUCUCCAUUAAAGUACAUGCCAUCAUGUUGUUACAUCUA